rnacentral:rRNA from 1 species
CAGCCGCCACGGUAAUACGGAGGGGGCUAGCGUUGUUCGGAAUUACUGGGCGUAAAGCGCACGUAGGCGGCUUUGUAAGUUAGAGGUGAAAGCCCGGAGCUCAACUCCGGAAUUGCCUUUAAGACUGCGGAGCUAGCAGGUGAGAGAGGUGAGUGGAAUUCCGAGUGUAGAGGUGAAAUUCGUAGAUAUUCGGAAGAACACCAGUGGCGAAGGCGGCUCACUGGCUCAUACUGGACGCUGAGGUGCGAAAGCGUGGGGAGCAAACAGGAUUAGAUACCCGCGUAGUCCCUGUCUCUUAUAC